rnacentral:rRNA from 1 species
AAGUGGAUUAGUGGCGCACGGGUGAGUAACGCAUAGGUAAUAUGCCUCAUAGUCUAGGAUAGCCACUGGAAACGGUGAUUAAUACUGGAUACUCCCUACGGGGGAAAGUUUUUCGCUAUGAGAUUAGCCUAUGUCCUAUCAGCUUGUUGGUGAGGUAAUGGCUUACCAAGGCUAUGACGGGUAUCCGGCCUGAGAGGGUGAACGGACACACUGGAACUGAGACACGGUCCAGACUCCUACGGGAGGCAGCAGUAGGGAAUAUUGCUCAAUGGGGGAAACCCUGAAGCAGCAACGCCGCGUGGAGGAUGAAGGUUUUAGGAUUGUAAACUCCUUUUGUUAGAGAAGAUA